AGGGAGCCCCUCCCUCUAAAAGCACUCUGUGUGGGGAAGAUGAGAGCCAGAGCAAAGCUCAGAGGAACCAACAUGGACCUGGAUAUGGACCUGGAUAUGGAUCUGGAUCCAGCUGUGUGUCAUUCAGGAGUGACGACUCAAAGCAUCAUAGCCCUGACUUCAAAACCAUGAGUUCAGGAGUGGAACAGUUCCAACAGAGAUCUGGAUCUGGAUCUGGAUCUGGAUCCAGCUGUGUGUCCAACAGGAGUGACAGAUCAAAGCAUUUGCCUCUUCACUUCAAGUCCGUCAGUUCAGCAGUGGAGCAGUAAGUGUUUG